CCUACGGGAGGCAGCAGUGAGGAAUAUUGGUCAAUGGACGAGAGUCUGAACCAGCCAAGUAGCGUGAAGGAUGACUGCCCUAUGGGUUGUAAACUUCUUUUAUAUGGGAAUAAAAUGUUCCACGUGUGGGAUUUUGUAUGUACCAUAUGAAUAAGGAUCGGCUAACUCCGUGCCAGCAGCCGCGGUAAUACGGAGGAUCCGAGCGUUAUCCGGAUUUAUUGGGUUUAAAGGGAGCGUAGGUGGAUUGUUAAGUCAGUUGUGAAAGUUUGCGGCUCAACCGUAAAAUUGCAGUUGAAACUGGCAGUCUUGAGUACAGUAGAGGUGGGCGGAAUUCGUGGUGUAGCGGUGAAAUGCUUAGAUAUCACGAAGAACUCCGAUUGCGAAGGCAGUUCACUGGACUGCAACUGACACUGAGGAUCGAAAGUGUGGGUAUCAAACAGGAUUAGAUACCCGAGUAGUC
rnacentral:rRNA from 1 species